UACGAAGGGGGCUAGCGUUGCUCGGAAUUACUGGGCGUAAAGGGCGCGUAGGCGGUGCCUCAAGUCAGGCGUGAAAGCCCCGGGCUCAACCUGGGAACCGCGCUUGAAACUACGAGACUCGAGUGUGGCAGAGGAAGGUGGAAUUCCACGUGUAGCGGUGAAAUGCGUAGAGAUGUGGAGGAACACCGAUGGCGAAGGCAGCCUUCUGGGCCAACACUGACGCUCAUGCACGAAAGCGUGGGGAGCAAACAGG
rnacentral:rRNA from 1 species